rnacentral:rRNA from 1 species
GAGUUUGAUCCUGGCUCAGAUUGAACGCUGGCGGCAGGCCUAACACAUGCAAGUCGAGCGGAUGACGGGAGCUUGCUCCUUGAUUCAGCGGCGGACGGGUGAGUAAUGCCUAGGAAUCUGCCUGGUAGUGGGGGACAACGUUUCGAAAGGAACGCUAAUACCGCAUACGUCCUACGGGAGAAAGCAGGGGACCUUCGGGCCUUGCGCUAUCAGAUGAGCCUAGGUCGGAUUAGCUAGUUGGUGGGGUAAUGGCUCACCAAGGCGACGAUCCGUAACUGGUCUGAGAGGAUGAUCAGUCACACUGGAACUGAGACACGGUCCAGACUCCUACGGGAGGCAGCAGUGGGGAAUAUUGGACAAUGGGCGAAAGCCUGAUCCAGCCAUGCCGCGUGUGUGAAGAAGGUCUUCGGAUUGUAAAGCACUUUAAAGUUGGGAGGAAGGGCAGUAAGUUAAUACCUUGCUGUUUUGACGUUUACCGACAGAAUAAGCACCGGCUAACUCUGUGCCAGCAGCCG